rnacentral:rRNA from 1 species
ACUCAAAGGAAUUGACGGGGACCCGCACAAGCGGUGGAACAUGUGGUUUAAUUCGACGGUAAGCGAGGAACCUCACCAGGGCUUGACAUGAUACUGCAAAGCCGAUGAAAGUUGGCCUCCUUCGAGGGUGUAUCACAGGUGCUGCAUGGUUGUCGUCAGCUCGUGCCGUGAGGUGUACCCUUAAGUGGGGUAACGAGCGCAACCCCUAUGCCGUGUUAAUUUUUCACGGCAGACUGCCUCGGAUAACGGGGAGGAAGGCGGGGAUGACGUCAAAUCAGCAUGGCUCUUACGUCCUGGGCGACACACGUGUUACAAUGGACGGUACAAUGGGCCGCCAAAGCGAAAGCUGGAGCCAAUCCCAUCAAAACCGUUCUCAGUUCGGAUUGAGGUCUGCAACUCGACCUCAUGAAGCUGGAAUCGCUAGUAAACGCAUAUCAGACACGGUGCGUUGAAUACGUUCUCGGGUCUUGUACACACCGCCCGU